AACGAACGCUGGCGGCAUGCCUAACACAUGCAAGUCGAACGAGACCUUCGGGUCUCGUGGCGAACGGGUGCGUAACGCGUGGGAAUCUGCCAUUGGGUUCGGAAUAACAGUUAGAAAUGACUGCUAAUACCGGAUGAUGACUUCGGUCCAAAGAUUUAUCGCCCAAGGAUGAGCCCGCGUAGGAUUAGCUUGUUGUUGAGGUAAAAGCUCACCAAGGCGACGAUCCUUAGCUGGUCUGAGAGGAGGAUCAGCCACACUGGGACUGUGACACGGCCCAAGCUCCUACGUGAGGCAGCAGUGGGGAAUAUUGGACAAUGGGCGAAAGCCUGAUGCAGCAAUGCCGCGUGAGUGAUGAAGGCCUUAGGGUUGUAAAGCUCUUUUACCCGGGAUGAUAAUGACAGUACCGGGAGAAUAAGCCCCGGCUAACUCCGUGCCAGCAGCCGCCGUAACAC
rnacentral:rRNA from 1 species